rnacentral:rRNA from 1 species
GAUGAACGCUAGCGGCAGGCUUAACACAUGCAAGUCGAGGGGUAACAGGGAGUGCUUGCACUUUGCUGACGACCGGCGCACGGGUGCGUAACGCGUAUAGAACCUACCUUAUAUUGGGGGAUAGCCCAGAGAAAUUUGGAUUAAUACCCCAUAGUAUUGGGAUGUGGCAUCACAACCUAAUUAAAGAUUUAUCGAUAUAAGAUGGCUAUGCGUUCUAUUAGCUAGUUGGUAUGGUAACGGCAUACCAAGGCUACGAUAGAUAGGGGUCCUGAGAGGGAGAUCCCCACACUGGUACUGAGACACGGACCAGACUCCUACGGGAGCAGCAGUGAGGAUAUUGGACAAUGGAGGCAACUCUGAUCCAGCCAUGCCGCGUGCAGGAAGACUGCCCUAU